rnacentral:rRNA from 1 species
UUGAAAGGGAAACGAUUGAAGUCAGUCGUACCAGCGGGAAAUCAACCUUUCGAGUGGGGGUUUUGGAGUUUUGAAGAGUGUUAAAACCUUUGAGAUUUCAAAAUGUUCGCUCUUUUGGUGUACUUUCUCGUAGGUAGGUUAACAUCGAUUUUGAUCAUCAUAAAAGGAUUGGAGGAAUGUAGCUUCGAUCUCGUAUUGAAGUGUUAUAGCCUUUGGUAAAUGUGAUGAUUAGGAUCGAGGAUUGCAACGAAUACCCUUUUGGGCUAUCCGCCUGAUCUCUGAUACGUGACCUUGGUAUUGAAAGCUUGCUUAUGGUAUUAAGGUAUUACGGUCAAAAGGUUAGAACGGAUUACAUUCGUUAAGGAUGUUGACGUA